rnacentral:rRNA from 1 species
GGCUCAGGACGAACGCUGGCGGCGUGCUUAACACAUGCAAGUCGAACGCUGAAGCACCAGCUUGCUGGUGUGGAUGAGUGGCGAACGGGUGAGUAAUACGUGAGUAACCUGCCCUUGACUCUGGGAUAAGCCCGGGAAACUGGGUCUAAUACUGGAUGCUACAUGUCACCGCAUGGUGGUGUGUGGAAAGGGUUUACUGGUCUUGGAUGGGCUCACGGCCUAUCAGCUUGUUGGUGAGGUAAUGGCUCACCAAGGCGACGACGGGUAGCCGGCCUGAGAGGGUGACCGGCCACACUGGGACUGAGACACGGCCCAGACUCCUACGGGAGGCAGCAGUGGGGAAUAUUGCACAAUGGGCGAAAGCCUGAUGCAGCGACGCCGCGUGAGGGAUGACGGCCUUCGGGUUGUAAACCUCUUUCAGCAGGGAAGAAGCCACAAGUGACGGUACCUGCAGAAGAAGCGCCGGCUAACUACGUGCCAGCAGCCGCGGUAAUACGUAGGGCGCAAGCGUUGUCCGGAAUUAUUGGGCGUAAAGAGCUCGUAGGCGGUUUGUCGCGUCUGCUGUGAAAGCCCGGGGCUUAACCCCGGGUGUGCAGUGGGUACGGGCAGACUAGAGUGCAGUAGGGGAGACUGGAAUUCCUGGUGUAGCGGUGGAAUGCGCAGAUAUCAGGAGGAACACCGAUGGCGAAGGCAGGUCUCUGGGC